UGAGGGGUUUCUUCAUAUAGCUUCAGGACCCAGCGUUCUGUCACUUCUGCUCCUGAGACCUCGACGAGUUGAAACGAUGCAGUUCAUCAAGGUAUCUCCAGGGAUAACUGGCAUAAACGCCGCAAGACCGGCAGUAAACUCAAGCCCUACCACAAGAAGAGGAAGUAUGAGCUCGGGCGUCCUCCUGCAAACACAAAGAUCGGACCUCACUGCAUCCACACACUGGAAACUUCUCCUUGGGCUCUGAAUGCUGCACUCGCAAGACCAGGAUUAUCGAUGUGGUCUACAACGCCUCCAACAACGAGCUGGUCAGAACCAAGACCCUGGUGAAGAACUGCAUCGUCCUCGUUGACAGCCUUCCCUACAGGCAGUGGUAUGAGGCCCACUACACCACUCCUCUGGGACGCAAGAAGGGAGCCAAGCUGACCCCUGAGGAGGAAGAGGUCAACCAGGACUCAGAAGAAAUUGGACGAGGGUAAAAAGACGGCCAAGAUCAGCCCCCUCGUGGAGGAUCAGUUCCAGAAAGGAGAGCUUCUCAGAAAGUGAUAUCCAACAAUUUUGCAGAUGACGUAGUCCUCAUUGGAUCAUCGGCCUGUGACCGUCAGUACCCACUGGAUCGGCUGGCGGCCGAGUGUGAAGCGGCUGGGAUGAGGAUCAGCACUGCUAAAUAUGAGGCCAUGACUCUUAGCAGGAAACCGAUGGAUUGCUUACUCCGGCUUGCAUCACCUCCCGGCCAGUGUGGCAGAGCGGAUGGUUACCUCCUGGAAGGCAAAGAGCUUGAAUUCUACUUGAGGAAGAUCAAGGUCAAGAAAGGCAAAUGGAUGUACAGCUCUUUGAUUCGUGAAUAAAUUCUUUCUACAAAAC